AGAGUUUGAUCCUGGCUCAGGAUGAACGCUAGCGGCAGGCCUAAUACAUGCAAGUCGAACGCUCAGUAGCAAUACUGGGAGUGGCGCACGGGUGCGUAACGCGUACACAAUCUACCUCUAAGCGGGGGACACCUCCUGGAAACGGGGAUUAAUACCGCAUAAUAUGCCGAAGUCGCAUGACUUUGGUAUUAAAGCAGCAAUGCACUUAGAGAUGAGUGUGCGUCCCAUUAGGUAGUUGGUGAGGUAACGGCUCACCAAGCCUAAGAUGGGUAGCCGGUCUGAGAGGAUGGUCGGCCACACGGGCACUGAGACACGGGCCCGACUCCUACGGGAGGCAGCAGUAAGGAAUAUUGGUCAAUGGUGGAAACACUGAACCAGCCAUGCCGCGUGGAGGAAUAAGGUCCUACGGAUUGUAAACUCCUUUUGACGAGGAAGAAAAUGUUAGAUUUAUCUAAUUUUGACGGUACUCGUAGAAUAAGCACCGGCUAACUCCGUG
rnacentral:rRNA from 1 species